UUAAUGAUGAACAAACUUUUAAAGCCAAACAGUUAUCCCUGUCAUAAGAAUAAUUGAUGAUGAAAUAAUCUGA
rnacentral:snoRNA from 1 species